rnacentral:rRNA from 1 species
CAGCAGCCACGGGAAUACGUAGGGCGCAAGCGUUGUCCGGAAUUAUUGGGCGUAAAGAGCUCGUAGGCGGUCUGUCGCGUCUGGUGUGAAAUCCCGAGGCUCAACCUCGGGCUUGCAUCGGGUACGGGCAGACUAGAGUGCGGUAGGGGAGACUGGAAUUCCUGGUGUAGCGGUGGAAUGCGCAGAUAUCAGGAGGAACACCGAUGGCGAAGGCAGGUCUCUGGGCCGCAACUGACGCUGAGGAGCGAAAGCAUGGGGAGCGAACAGGAUUAGAUACCCCAGUAGUCCCUGUCUCUUAUAC